UUGUGCUAAUAACUUGUAUGUAAUCUUUAUUGUAUUAACAAAAAAUUACUAGCAGUAUAUAUAUUUUUUAUUAGUUUUAACAGGGUAGUAAUAUUCUGACCACUCAAAACAAAAACUUUAAAUAAAAUUAUCAUCAACUAACAUUGUAAGUAAUUUUAGUUUUGUUAUGUAUAUUGUAGGAACAAUAUGGAGUAGGUUCUAAAAUUUAUUGUAAAUUCCGACAUGUCUCUCAUGCAAAUCAUCAUGCAUCACUUCACCACCAAUAGGAACAGAUUUAUUGGACUCUUCUUCACAAUGAAUUCUGAAGUUCAUGUUACCACUUCGGGGGUCACACCAGCAACUAGCGUUCUUUCUCAGGCCUCAGGUGUGGGUGACUCGAUGUUAGAUUUAUCCAUGUUUGUCCAGCAGGAGAUUGAAUGUCACAUGGAUCAGCCUUUGUCUCUGGACCUUGCCCCAUUUCCUCCCGAAUAUUCAAAACCUGUUCAGACUGAUGAGGACUUGGAUCGUCUAUUUCUGCCUCCUGAUUUUGCCGUACCUUUUCAUCCCCCGCCUGAGGAAUCAAUUAGUCCUAACUUGAUCUUUUUUUGGAUUUUGUUUUGCAGGUAUUUGACGUUUUAUCCCUUUCUCCUAUUUCUUAUGAGCCACUUCCUUACUACAUGACCAAUCUUCCCACCACUUCUUGGUUCCCCCCCUCAUAUUUGUGUUCAUACUGAUCAAUUUGCCUCAAAAUUAAGCGAUGGGAUUAGCAUGCCUUGCGCCCCCCUCACGGACUUCACAAUAGUUUGUGCUUUCAUACAAUUGUGCUGACUGUCCCUUUUUGGACCAAUAGCUGUUAGGUUCCUUAUUGCUCAUUUGGGGGGGUGGCUCCUGAAUCACCUGUCAGUCUGACCCAUGCCCAGGAUUCUUGCCUGAGUCUUACCCUUAUAACUCUUUUUAUAUUAUCGUUCUUCUCUACACCUCUCUGAGGCUCUCCACAGAAAUCCUGAGGAGUUUUCUGGGAUAACCUUUUCCUUCUUUCCUCCACACUAGCUCAUUUAUCGUCUUUGGCUUUGGCUUUGCAUAAGUGGUUUCUCUGUUGUUGGGAUCUUAUAGGUCUUGAUGCGAUUUUGGCUCAAGCCAAUUUAGCAUCGACUUAUCCUCAGGAUUUACGUAUGGGCCCCAUUUCUGUGGCAAUACAUUUUUCACAUGAUCCCAGAAAUACUAGAGCCACAGGUGGCAUUGGUCCAACAACAGUCUACCCUUACCAAUAUUAUUGCAUGUUUGUCUCAGUCACAGCCCCAUAAACCACCUAUUACCAUUUCCUGUCUUUUUUCUUCCCAACCUUUACCUGUCCCUUCUUCUUGGGGUGCUUCUUCUCAUCAUUGUUUUUUCAACCAUGCACCUCACAUUGCCAACAUUACAAAUGACUAACCAGUGGGUUCUAGUCUGGUGGGACCUCGGCUUACUGAUUUUCUUCAUUGCUGGCAUACCUUCAUUGAGGAUCAAUGGGUUCUUCAGAUUUUAUAAGAAGAAUUCAUGAUCCCCAUUCUUUCCCCACCUUUUGUAUGUCUUUUUCUCGUUUCCUUCCCUCCUUCUCAGGAUCCCAUUAUUAGUCAGUAUCUGUUGGAAGAGGUUCAGGAUUUUCUAUCUCAGCAGGCCAUUGAACCUAUUCUCCAUCCUUCAACAGGUUUUUAUUUCUGACUUUUUGUUAUUCUCAAGAAUACUAGGGACUGAAUGCCAGUCACAGAUUUAUAUUGCCUUAACCAUGGAGUCUUUUCUCACCCUGAGGAGGAUGUUUUCUUUGGGUUUAUGGAUGACCAAAAUGGAUGUUGCCAAUGCUUAUCUCCACAUACCUAUAUCACUUUGGUUAUGUACUUAUCUUCGAUUUGUCCAUCUCAGGGUUGUUUAUUAAUUUUGAGCACUACCAUUCUGGCAUGCUUCGGCCCCCUUAUGUUUUCUGUUGGGUAGUCUGAUCAUUUUCUCAACAUCUUCAUGCUCUGUGGUCGAGUUUUCACUAUUACAUAGAUAACUGGAUUCUUCUGGCUCAUUCAAAACAGAAGUCAGCCAGCCAUAUUCGGCAGCUCCUCUUAAUGACUGCUCGAGUGGGCUGGUUAAUCAAACUGGAGAAGUCCUUCCUCAGGCAUGUCAUCCAUUUGGAGGUCUUUUUCAACACUUAUCAGUCUGGCCCAGCUUUCUCCUAUAAGACUUUGUUUUAUGGAAGUGUUUGUUUGCCAUGCCCUCUUGGGUUCCAUCACUUACUGCUCACAAAGUUCUAUCGUUUUUAAUGAUGUGGUUUUCAAUGGCAUCACUGGUCACUCUUGGUUGGUUUUAAAGAGUACCACUUCCUCCCCGGAAUCUGAAUCUACAUCUUUUUGUGAAUGCAUCCCUGCAGGGUCAGGGUGCAUGGUCAACCACCAGGAAGCUUCAGGCUGUUGGUCUGUGGACGAAAGCUCUUUGCAUAUUAAUCUUCUCGAACUUCUAGCUGUACAUCAGGUGGUGAAUCACUUUUUUCGUCUUGCCUGAUAUUGUCUGGUGAUGGUUUAUUCCAACAAUUCUACAGUGGUGGCAUAUAUCAAUCAUCAAGGACACCAGGUUGAGAGAUCUGUUUUCGUAUGUUGGAUCUCUUAUACUGGGCCCACACGCAACAUAUUCAUCUGAUUGCAUGUCAGGUGCUGAGUGCUUUCAAUCUUAUUGUGGAUUGCCUUACCUAUCCUGACCAGAUAUAUCCAACAGAGUGGUCCUUAGAUCCUCUUGUUUUCAGGGAACUUUGCAUUUCGUGGGAUUCGUCCCAUGGGGAUGCAUUUGCCAUGAGUGUGAAUCACAAGUUACCUCUUUUUUGGUCGCUGGUCCCUCAUCUUCAGGCUCUGGCAGUCAAUGCCUUCAGCUAAGAUUGGUCCCACAAAUAUCUUUAUGUUUAUCCUUCUAUCUGAUUAUUUCAUCAGGUGAUCUCUUUCAUCUAUACCACUCCUUGUUGGCUCCUUCUGAUUGCUUCUGAUUGGCCAGCUCAGGUGUGGUUUCCAUGGUUACAGCAACUGCUACUCUCUCCUCUUGUACCUCUUCCGUCAUCUCCCUACCUUCUUCGUCAACCUCAGUUGCCAGUCCUAUAUCCUGCCUUUCACUUCCUGCAUCUUCAUACCUGGCUUUCAUCCAGUCCUAGAUAAGGAGUUCCAAUUUCCUUUUAGCUGGUUCCAUACAUCUUUCUUCUAUGGAAGUGUAUCAGCACAAGUGGAAGGUGUUCCACAGUUGAUUUACAACUUGGGGAUUUCCCUCUGACCAGCCUACUAUGGCUUAGGUGGCAGAAUUUUUCACUUGGCUUUUUGACCUGGGGUCCUUAGUCACCUCACUCCUUCCCAUACCUUUAAUUUUUCUCGAUACUGUAGAGUUUUUAUUGACCUGUCCUUACCAUACUACUGCAUUCAUUCUGGUUGCAUUGCCCUCCCAGGCAACCUACCCUUCUAGAUUGGGAUGUUAAUAUUUCCUUCUUCUCUUAGCCUGUGGACAUCGAUGGUCAAAUUUGUUUGCCAUUGACAUUUCACAUACAUUUUAUUACCCUACCUAUCUUCUCCUUUAUCUGGAUUGUUCCAUCCUCCCAAAGACCUCAGCGGCUUAGUAACUUAGAGAGUAACUCCUCCUUUUUGCCUAUUUCUCUUCCUUCCAUUUCUCAUAUUUAACCUUGACCAGAUCCAAAUAGGCUUCUGUGUCUGGUCAGGGCUCUUCAUUGUUAUAUUCCCAUACGGCUUCCUUCUGUGGUACCUCUUCCCAUGGCAGUCUUCCUCCCUUCGUGAUCUGAUUGGCUUUUUCCUCCUUGCCUUCUUCCUCUUGGAAUUUGUUCUGGGUGUCUUCUCAUCAGAAUAGACAUGUCACCUUUUCUCUCGCUUCUCAUCUUCAUGGUCCAUUAGAGAAAAUUCUACAAUCAGGCAUGUGGACCACCGCCCAAUAUGUUUGUAUCCCAUUACCUACAUUAUAUCAUGGUUUCUUUUUCAUCGGGUUUUUGUCUUCCACCUAUGGCCAUUCUUCAGACGUUGGUGCGACUCUGACUGGUAAGUUUCUAUCUAUACUUUCUUUUCUUUUCAGGAGCCUUUUUCUUCAUUCCUCAUUAUAUGGAUCCCACUCUGUGGCUGCAAGAAAAGCAUAAAGAAGGAGAAAUGAAUCACAAGAGGAAAAAGCAGCAAUGCUAUGAGCUGAUAGAGUUGGAAAAACAGAUAAGAAGAGAAAUAAAGCACAGGAAGAAA
rnacentral:misc_RNA from 1 species